rnacentral:rRNA from 1 species
GACGAACGCUGGCGGCGUGCCUAAUACAUGCAAGUCGAACGCAGUGGGGACGGGUGAGUAACACGUGGGUAACCUCCCAUCAGAGGGGAUAACACUUGGAAACAGGUGCUAAACCGAUACUGAUGGAUGGACCCGCGGUGCAUUAGCUAGUUGGUGAGGUAACGGCGCACCAAGGCCACGAUGCAUAGCGGGCCUGAGGGGGGUGACGGCCAAAAUGGGACUGAGAAACGGCCCAGACUCCUACGGGAGGCAGCAGUAGGGAAUCUUCGGCAAUGGACGAAAGUCUGACCGAGCAACGGCGCGUGAGUGAAGAAGGUUUUCGGAUCGUAAAAGUCUGUUAAUCGGGACGCGGUACCGGAAUAGAAAGCCACGGCUAACUACGUGCCAGCAGCCGCGGUAAUAC